AUGCCUCUCUUUGGGUCCUUUGAGAAUCUCCUCCGAGCCCUCAAGAAGAACUUCUACCUUCACUCGGCUAACCUCGAUGAUGUGGUCAAGCCCAACGUCGCGUUGCUGCGGGAGUGCGGGCUAGGUGCUUGUGAUAUUGCCAAGCUAUGCAUCAGUCAACCAUGGCUUCUCGCCGCCAACCCGGAGCGCCUCCAGGCCAUGGUGGCAUGCGCCGAAAACAUAGGUGUGCCCUGUGGUUCUGCGAUGUUCAGGCAUGCGCUGCACGCUGUUGCAUUUCCCAACGAGGACAAGAUCGCAGCCAGGGUGGAGUACUUGAAGAACACGUUCAGGUGGACGGAUGCUGAGGUGGCCAUUGCUGUUUCUAAGGCUCCAACGGUGCUGAAUAGGACUAAGGAGUUUCUGCAGAGAAGGUAG
rnacentral:rRNA from 1 species